GGACAAUGUAUCAUCGCCUGUUCGGAAGUAUUCUAGAGGAAACAGGUAGUAUUUCCUUCCCCAAGCACCAAAGUGGGGUUUCCGACACCGGUGAAUAUGCUGGAUGCCUCAGGGCGGAGCCCGACCUGGGGCCGGGGGGCGGGCCGUGCGAGCGGCGCGCGCAAUAAAGCGGAAGGUGCAGCAACUCGCACACGCGGUGGAGAAAGUGAGGGUUGGGUGUGUCUUCAAGCUGAGGGCCCACCCGCCUUGGUGGUUCCCCCAGGAGUUGAGCAGCCCUCGUUGAUACAGGACCAGCGAGGUUGGUUUUGA
rnacentral:lncRNA from 1 species